rnacentral:tRNA from 1 species
GCACCCUUGGUCUAAUGGUUAGGAUAUCUGCCUUCCAAGCAGAUGGUCCGGGUUCAAUUCCCGGACGGUGCA